AUACGGAGGAUCCGAGCGUUAUCCGGAUUUAUUGGGUUUAAAGGGUGCGCAGGCGGGAGAUUAAGUCGGCGGUGAAAUUUUGCAGCUCAACUGUAAAAGUGCCUUCGAAACUGGUUUCCUUGAGUGUAGAUGAAGUAGGCGGAAUUUGUGGUGUAGCGGUGAAAUGCAUAGAUAUCACGAGGAACUCCGAUUGCGCAGGCAGCUUACUAAACUACUACUGACGUUCAGGCACGAAGGCGUGGGGAUCAAACAGGAUUAGAUACCCUGGUAGUCCACGCAGUAAACGAUGAUUACUAGCUGUUUGCGAUACAAUGUAAGCGGCUGAGCGAAAGCGUUAAGUAAUCCACCUGGGGAGUACGUUCGCAAGAAUGAAACUCAAAGGAAUUGACGGGG
rnacentral:rRNA from 1 species